rnacentral:misc_RNA from 1 species
CUCAUUGAAAAAGCAGGAGUGUGGAAGAAAGAUGUCGUUUAACGUCGUUAACAAUACAUCUUCCUUGUGUAUGCUUGCAGUCUUGCACGUACGUAUGCGAAUGCGACUGUAAUAUCUGGUAAAAUGAACAUGGAUUGAAAAUGAUCCAACUUAAUUGCACUCAGUGAAGUUUUGUUCUGUACUUUUGCAAGAUAAAAUGUGUAACUUUAAAAAUUUUGCCUUGAGAGCUCGUGUUGCUCAUCGGCCUACAACAUUAAGACAAUCUAGUUUGAGGAUCUGAUUAUCUUUGGAGGCCUAGGUUCAUUUAAAGAUGGCAAUUUUCCUUUCAAAGGUAGGAUUGAGAGGAAUCAAGCAUGUCUUGGUUUGAGAAGCAAAUUUUCUGCAGAAGACAGGAAACAAGACAGAAAAUCCUUCGCGAAAGAUAAAUUCGUCACUGUUAGGACUUGUUCGCUAGUUAAAGACAAUUCCACCACCUUUUAAAUGAGCCAGAAACUCAACAUGACUUUGUUGAAGCAUAAUUGAAACACGUAAUCACUGAAAGCACUAAGCAACAUGUAUUGAAAUGGUUAACGUUUCAUGUGCUUAUCCGCAUCCGAUAAUCCGUCUAUCUAUGCCCGUCCGAAAUUUAAGGGUCGUGCCUUCAUUUUGUUGGAUAGAUCACCCCUUCCCCUUAGACGAAAGGAUUUGUUAAGAAGAUAUUUAUAUCUGGUAUACCCUUAGUAGAAGCCGGCCGCGCCAACUGAAUCAGUUUAAAAUAAAAUGAUCGACUACUCGAUUGAUCAUCUUGGCGAACUGUAAUAUGAAGAUGGAGGUAUAUUGACGGAGUACACAGCGAUUUGCUGCUCUUCCUUCGAUUGGCAUAUGUCAUUCGUCUUGUCAUUUCGUCCCGAGAGGUCUCUUCCCUUCUUUGGUACGCAGAACAAUGUUUCUCUUAAGGCAUCCGAUUGGUCGAUGCAAUCCAUUCCUUCAGCCUGUAGGAUUUUCCGAUGAUACAAUAAAUCAUUAUAUUGAUGGAAUAAAACCUCAACGAUUUUGAAACUCAGAAAAAAUACGAAACCCAGCAGCAACGAAGGCUGUUUGUCAUCGACUGCCUUCAGUCAAAUUAGCGUUGUUGGUAUUGUUAUGUUAUUAAAUCUACUGGGCAUUCACACAAGAAAAUUAAAGAUAAAGCGCAUACUGAUGUUUUGUUGAUUCCAGAUAAAGUUAACAGCGACCCUGUUUAUCAUCAACUCAACGGAAGACACAUUUAUCUGUUGGAAUUGCCAUCGAUCUUAAUGAAACUUCGCACAAUUUGAUGGCCUUAAUAAGUUCGUCCCAAAUGCAAACUAACCCGACAUGCACAGGAUGAAUCGGUUGCUUGAUUGGAUUCCAGACUUGAGCCGAAGUUAACAGGUGAACAAGUUCUGAAAACCGUUUCCAAAAAUCCUUCAGGUGUUAGAGAAGGAAAUCCGUCGAUCAUUUCUCAAGAUCCUGAAAUAAUUCUGCCGGCCGUCGUCCAUCAUCGGAUGGACACUGAUGAACGGGUUCCUCAUCUGCCUUCACAGUCCAUCAACAAUCUAGGCGACACCGAAUCUUUUCCCUGGAUGCCAAUCCGCUCAAAAAUCAGCCGACUCGAAGUUCAAGCCGCUCUCAACUUGUCCGUCAACAUUCUGCCGUUUUGGCUGUGUACCUUUCCUGUGGCUUUUAAUACCAUUGUCCUUUACUGGUGCAUCCGGCUGGAAGUUAACCUUGACACCAUUGUGGUAACAUGGAAUUUUUUUUGGGACGUCUUUAUGCUCCAUAGUAUUUAUAAUCCAAUCAUGUACAUGGUCACCUUUUCGGAAUUCCGGCGUGCUUUUCGUCACAUCACAAAGAAUUUGUCAAACAAAUUUCGUUUUGCUUAACUAAAGUAAUUUUUCAAUUUAUUCUUCUCUCGUUUCCGUUAAUUGUUAUUGACCGCUCAAGUGUCUUGUGCUCCUGGUGUUGCUGAAUUGAAUAUUCCACACGAUCCUGACCUAUUGUCGUCCCCGGCUGUUAUUACAUACGUACGUUUUACUGCUUAUAGGUAAGGUAUUCAUCAAUUAAUUUAUUUCUAUUUAUUCCUCCCGUCUUCUGAGAUUCGAAAGAACUUGGAGAAAUUAGAGAUCAAUUGUGGGAACAAUAUCUGAAUGUUUGCCAUGUCCGCACCAUUGCUCAUGUAACUCCUUUUUCUCUGUUUACAUAACUUUCAUCUUCUUUAAGAUGUUUUCCUCUUUUUCUGUCUCCCUUGCACAAAGUAUUCAUGGUAAACAACGGAUUACAUGUUACGCCAUACGAUGUGCACGCUCCUAAAUCUAUACUAUAAGGAAGAGCUGAACUGACCUGUCUUAUUUAAACUUGUUGAAUAUAAGUCGAAACAAAGCA